ACAAUAUUAAUUAUAAUCACGCGUGUGUAUAUUUAUAAAAGAGAAGAUCGUUUAAUAUAACGCUCGUAAAAACAUUUAGCGAUCAAUUUAUUGAAAAUGUAAUUUAUCGUUACGCAUUUCUAUACAAAACUUAUAUAAUAUUUUCUAUUUUCUUGUGUAAUAGCACGCUAAUACGACUUCUUUUUCGUUUUACAUUACGUUUAGAAAAUCACGAUAUAGACAAAAGGAAUGAGUCAUAACCUUCAUAUUUUAUUUUUAAUUUCAUCAAAAGCAUCUUAGAUCUGUUAAAAUUGGAAACUCGAAAUAACGAGGAUUGUAUUACUUUUAGUUUCGUAAGAUUUGAUCUUUCUUUCUAUAGUUCUAUAGUUACCGGUAAAAACAGUAUUUAUAAUUUCUGGCAGCCAUAUUUGAUUUAGUCAUAGAAUCCAACAUGGGCGUUCCUUUUUGUCGUCUGCAAAGUGUCAAAUGCUUUGUGUUUUUUAAAGAUGGACGGGAUUAGUGAUACGUUAUAAUUACAAAUGAUUAGUACAAAAAUCUCAAAGAAAGAUCUGGAUUAAUGAACAUUGCUUAAUAUUUUUCUGUGAUUACGUUAUUUUUAUCGACGAAAAACGUACAUUUCUUAUGUACAAUAGUCAUCCGUAACACGAUACAUAUACAAGGAGAUUCGAGUUGGUAUAUAUCAAAGAUUUCUGUGAUUCAAUAAUUAAUUAUUAUGAAAUAAAUUAUCGUAAAUGUAUUGUAAGAAAUAUAUCUAUUAAAGGAAGAUAUUUGAAAAGAAGAUAGUGUGUGUAAAAAAGCAUCGAGAGAAGGUUAUGCUUGUCGUCAAGUGAAAAUUAUAUUUGUGUGCGUGUGCGUGCUACCGUGCUAUUUAUUCGUUUUUAAAUGAUUGACGAACGGACACCGAAUUACAAAUAAUAUUAUGUGGUCGAAAUAAGAUAAUUACUACUUUAAACCAUCGUACCUGGAUAUUCGAAUUAGCUGAUUUUCUUUAUAUUAAAAAAAAAUAUUCAAGAAAUAAUUUCAUUUUACUGAAUAUUAUAUGACAUUUCAAAAAGAUUUACUGUUUUAUAAGAAAAGAACAAAGAGGCAAAAACAUUCGAAAAUUUGUAUUAUUGUGUCUUAUAAGUUGAUUCAAAGUUAUAUAUAAGAUGUCUGGAAACAAUACAAUGACAACAGACACGUUCAGAAGUGGGAACAUACAUAAUCGUAAUUCACAAAGAUCUACACUUUUAAAAGUAGUGAUUUUGGGUGACGGCGGAGUGGGAAAAUCUUGUCUUAUGAACAGAUUUGUAUCGAAUCAUUUUGAUGAACAUAAUUUUUACACUAUUGGAGUAGAAUUUUUAAACAAAGAUAUAGAAAUCAAUGGUGAAUCCUAUACUUUACAAAUAUGGGACACAGCAGGGCAAGAACGAUUUAAAACAUUAAGAACUCCAUUUUAUAGAGGUUCAGAUAUUUGUCUUUUAACUUAUGCCGUUGAUGAUAGAACAAGUUUUAAAAAUUUGGCUCUCUGGAGAUCAGAAUUUCUUUAUUAUGCGGAUGUUGAAGAAGCAUCUACCUUUCCAUUUAUAGUUGUGGGAAAUAAGGUGGAUGUUUUGGAAUCUGAAAAACAAGUAACAACAGAAGAAGCCAGAGCAUGGUGUGCAGAAAAUGGAGAUCCACCAUUAGUCGAAACAUCUGCAAAGGAUGCAACAAAUGUAGAAGCAGCGUUUGCAGCUGCUGUUGCUGCAUGGGCACGACUGGAGGCUAGAUUAGAACAUCCGUUAGUAGAAGAUACCGUCGACCUUUCUAAACAGCUCUCUCCACAACGUUCCAGUUGCUGUAUGCCUGUCUCUGGUGCUGAGUAGAUCUACAUUUGUGACCAGCUAACUGAAAUGGGUGGUAUGAAGAUAGACAUGAUAAGAAAUAUUUAUGAUACGAAUCAACAUUUUUGGAAGGAACACUUAGAGUUUGUUUGCAUUUGGAAGGAACAUAAUGCGUCUCAAAUUGAACUAAUCCCUAAAAUGGUGUUUACUGUAUUUAGGAUGUAUAAGGACAUUGUACCAAAAGAUGUAAGAGAUUUUUAUUUUCCUUGAUUUCACCAACUGACAGUCCAAUUUCUUUUGUGAAUUCUUCUCCACGAAACACGAUCAUUUUGUAACUUUAUUCGAUUAAAAUGAGACUUUUAUUAAUUUUUGAUUAGGUCUAACAAAAUAAUUUGAAGAGAAUCUUGCCAGCCUUCAAUACUCGGUUAAUUACAAGCCCAAAGUUUCUAUAAAGACAUUUGAAAUAAUUUCGAAUACAUCCAUCAAAAUAUUUCAAUAUAAUGUUUCUUGUGUGUUAUAUGAAAUUUGUUAGAUAUUCUCAAGAAAGAUAUUUAUGUUAUUAAACUUUUGCACAAAUCUUACUUAACAGGACUGUUAGUUAAUUUGCUAUUCUUCUAAUAUGUGCUUUGUAUAUCUAUCUUCGAAUACUUUACAUAAAUUGUAAAAAUUCACGUGUAAGAUAUGUACCGCUGGAAAAAAGAAAGAAAAAAAAAGACGAUAUAUAAUAUUUCAGAAUGUGCUUUACACAACUCGUGAGCUAUUGACAGUAUUUUAAGUGUUAUACACAUCAUUGGCUUGUGAUAAAUAUAGUAAUAAUAAUUAUAAAUUGUUUUAUUAUGUAAGACAAACAUAUAUAAAUUGUAAUUUAGCUUCGUAACGUAAAUUUGCCUUAUCAUUGCAGUAUAAAAUGAGGAACAGUAUAAUAACUAUAUUUCUAUUUAUGAUAUAUUCCUUUAGAUUAUCAAUAUAUAUGCAUAUGUACAUAUAUAUACGUCCAUAUAUAUAUAUAUACAUAUAUACAUAUACAUUUAUAUAUAUGUAUACAUAUUAAUUUGGCAUUUGUAUGAGAUGAAGUGCAGAGUAUUUUACGCUAACUGUUUAACAAUUUUCCUACAAAAAUAAUAAUAAUAAUAAUAAUAAUAAUAAUAAUAAUAAAACAAAGCUUUUUGGAUGAGUGUGUACAUAUGUGAUACAUUCUUAAAGCAAUAGAACUCUACUUCAAAGCUUUAGAAAUGUGUUAUGUGCUGCAAAGAGAAGUAUAUAAAUUUAUUGUAUAACAGAUUGUUCUUAAGCGACCAAACUUAAAUCAAUUCUGUACACAAUGUGCAUGCUGGUGCUUUUUGUAUAGCUCUAUGUGAAACGUAUAAAUUUAUAAUAAAAUAUGAAGUAUUAAUUUUGGUCAUCGUCGAAAUCCACAUAAUUACAAACAGAUAUUAUUUUUAAUUUAUAGAAAAAAAAUGUAUUUACAACUUUAUGUUUAUUACUUACCAUCAUUCGCAGAAUUAAUUACGAUUUAAAAGGUUUUAAAAUAGAAUUUUCGAUAAACAUUUAUUUAAUUAAUAUUUAUUUAAUUGAAAAAAUAUAUGAAGUAGAUGUCUUUUAUUGUAAUAUCUUUUACGAAAUUUUCUCCGUAUGCUUUACAAAUCAUCUUAAUUAUUUAAUUAAUUAAUUUAAAGUAAUACCUCAAUUCACAAAACUGCAUUAUAAGUUAUUUUAUACAUGUAUCUUCAAUACAAUACUUUAUGUCCUUUUUCAAAUAUUAAUGUAACAAAUAGUCUUUACAAGUCUCUCUUUAGCAAAUAUAAUAAUUAAAGUAAUAAUAAAAUGAGGAAAUGUGAUUGGAAGAAGAUAUGCAUCUUACACGAUACACGCAUUUCUUAUUUAAAUGUU